rnacentral:lncRNA from 1 species
CAUUGCAUCAAAAGAAGGUGCAGAUAACAGUUUCAGAUAACCAAGCCAUACAACAACUCUACACCAAACAAACCAAUCAAGACCGUGAUGAACUUGGCUUCUUUGAUUAUAGUGGAGACUUCUUUGAGUCAAGUUCUGGUCUUCUGAACUCUUUGUCCCUUGGUUUUGCUUUCGUGGCUCUGAUGAAUUUGGCUUUCUAAUUAAUACAUCAUUUGAUUAGGGACUCACUUUUACGUAAGUUAAAUAAUUAAUUUGUGUACUUUACUGCAUGUAUCAUUUUCGGUUGAUGUUAAAUAGUUUGUUAUGCGGUAUCAUGAUAUAUGAUUAUUGUAAUUGAUUACAUAUCCAUUGGAGUGCAAAAGUCACUACAGUAUUGUUAGGAUAUUUAGCAACAUUUGAAAAAUGAUACUAAACCGUACUAAAAUGUAAUGAAUUUGAUGUAGUAACAUCUUAGCCACCGUAAGAUAAAACCUACGUUACUAAAAGGUUCUAUUGGAAUGUUAAAUUGUGUUUUUAACCGUAUACUACACCAGGUCUACGUUUCUAGGUAUGGUUUUUGUGUUAAAUCGGAACUAAAAUUGUUUUUAGUGAAAUCACAACUAAAAUUGCUUAAACUUGCAAGUUUUCACAAACAAAUUUACUUUCAGAAUCCCAAAAUAAAAUUGGGUUAUCCCUCUCGUUUCUAUGGAAGGGGGCUCUAUAACUCCAGAAUUUGAUCAGGAGGUACAUAAAGUCUGAUAAAAAAUUAUUUCAUAAAAAAAUCGAACUUGGAUUCUCCCUAAGAAUUCUUCCUUAAGUGGUCGUAUUAACUUAUUUGAGCUCAAUCAUUUCACUAAAGAAGCCCAAUUUUAGUUUUGCUACAUUUAGAAAAACUUCAUCAAGAAACACGACAAUAAAAAGAAACAUUUCAAUUCCAUGAGAAGAAAGAGCGGGGUUCUUUUAAAUUCAAACGUGACCAAAACACCACGCCAUUCCAGUUUCCACAUCGAUGUAACGUGAAUUCGAGUCUAGCACAAUUGGAAUACGAAGUUGAUUCAAUCUCAAAUGAGAUUGAAUCUACUUUUUUUGCGGAUAGGGAUGGCAAUUGGACCUAGAUUCAAUGGAUACCCGCAAAAAAUACCCACAAUGGGUAGGGUAAAACCCCACUUUUAUGGGUCCGGGUACGGGUAAUACCCACAAAAUUAAAUGGGUAUGGACACGGGUAAGGGUACUAUACUGCCCAGACCCGCAGACCCGCAUAUACAUAUUUAUAUAAUAUCAUAAAUUAUUUAUUUAUUUUUUAUGUAUAAUUAAUUAAUUAAUUUAGCUAUUUAAGCCUAAACCUAAACUUAAACCAAACAACUACUUAAUACAAUAACAACUUCAUCAUGCCGGUGUAUAAUUUUUUAGGAAUAUUUCGGAUGUUUUCUAUUUGACUAAAUACCACGAUUCAUAUUAUUUUAUGAGUUAAUUUUAAAAAAUAAUUGGGAUCGUAGUUUUAUUUCAUUUGUGAUGUUUUUUUUGGUUUUUCAUAGUUAAAGUGCGGGUAUGGGCACUUAAGUACCCAUAGGGUAUGAGGAAGGGGACUAAAGUUGUUGCCCACGAGGGUACGGGCACGGGUACGGGUAUUUUUUAUAAAUGCGGUUAUGGGGACGGGCAUUGUAGUACCCUACCCAUUGGGUACCCAUUGCCAUCCCUAUUUGCAGAUGAACUUUGUAUAAUUUUCUAAAUAUGUACGUAAAUACUCUUUUAAAAAUUUAAAAGUUUAAGUGUAAUUAAACAAAUUUUGAUUUUACAAUAACUAAAAGUAUGCGUUGGUCCUUGUUAAAUUAAAAUUUGUUCAAUUAUUGUUAAACUUUUAUAUUUUUAAAUGAAUUUUUACAGAUAUUUUAAGAACAUAACAAUAAUUAUAAUUUAACGUGUAUCGAAUUAAAUAUGAAAUAUUUUAAAAGCCAAUAUUUCAAGAUAAAGCUAUUGUAAAUUCACACCUAAAAAUGAAAUUUUGAGCUAACUUGCGGAGAAACUUUCUUAUAAUAUUUUAAACAAGUAUGUAGAAAAUCAAUAAAAAAACUAAUCAUAAUUAAACAAAUUUUAAUUCCUCGCAACAUAUAUUCAUGAUAUUAUUUCAUAGAAUAUAAUUGAUUGAGUUUUGUUUAUAAUCAAACUUCUUUAUUUAAAAAGAAAAGAGAAGUUUUCUAUUCUAAACCCUAUUAACAAAAAUGCUAUGUUUGUCCGAGUUCGGUCUGUAAUCAGGCCAACAAUUGCUUCCACCAAUUAUCGAAAUAGAUUUUUAGCUAUAGUGAACUUUGUAGGAUUAGGAGGCCAACAUUAAUUAAUUAGUCUUGUUAACGAGUGUUUCCGAAGCACUCUUCAAGCAUACCAAAUUUAUCAAUUAUUCUUUUAAAAAGUCAACUAUUACAAUUUCCAAUGAACUUAAUACACAACUUUUCAUAAAGAACUUACUAAUUAAAGUGUUUAAAGAGUGUACUGGGACGCUCGUUAACAUUAUAUCUUAUCUCUCAAAUAUAAAAGUAAAACGAUAGUAUUUUUUAGGGGUAAAAGCAAAACAAUAUUUUCUGAAACAGAAAAACAAUAUUGUUUACAAUCAAAUUAUCCAUUUUUAGAAGUAGUUAUUGGUUGAUUCAGUUUAACCUUUGGAUUUGCUUCUGUCGUCUUAACGGCACAAGAGGCAAACGUUCAUAUUGUCUGUUCGUUACUACAUAGUACUUCUGCUUUUCUUUGGACCAAACUUGGUAGACUUCUUGUAUGUAUGUUUCAAGGAUCACUUGUUCUUUAACAUAUUUGAAAUCAUAUACUAAUGUAGAACAAUGUCAAAAAAUAUCAGAAUUGUUAACCACUAAUUAUUGCAUAUGAAAUAACAAUUACAAAUUAAACCGUCAUCAUCAAAAUAUAAAAUUGAAUUAUAAAGACUUUUGAUGUCUAAACUACCAAUUUCAAAGUUUUUAUAAACCCUCCAAUUCUUGCCCUUUUUUCAUUUCAUAAGCAUAUACACUCACAAUUUUGUCUAUGCAUUAAUGAACAUGAUGAAGUUAUAUCAAUUUGAAUUUCUCUUAUCCCUCUUCCUUAUCAUUGUCAAUACAACCUUUUCGGGUUAUGUCCCUCAAUUGUCUCCUUCUCUUGGCAAACAAAUAGGGAAGACAUUAGACAAGAUCAAACAAUCUCCUCCAUCAGAUGAACAACCAACAAAAGAGAUUGAAGGCCUAUCUCAAAUCAAACAACAUUUGGACACUUUCGGCUACUUCCAACGAUCUCCGCUGGACUUUGAUGACGUUCUAGACAAGGAAACAAUAUCCGCUAUUAAGGCUUACCAACAAUUUUUCAAUCUCCAGGUUACUGGUCACCUAGACUCCGAGACUUUACAACUACUCUUGUUACCAAGAUGUGGUGUUCCUGAUAUGAAUUUUGAGUACAGCUUCACUGACGCAAUUAAUAUAUCAUUACCGAAAGGAAACAAGUGGUUUCCCAAGGGCACGAAAAAGCUUACGUAUGGUUUUCAUCCGGAGAGCCAAAUCUCAACUGACAUGAUCAAAGUGUUUAGAAAUGCCUUCACACGAUGGUCGCAGACCACUAGGGUCCUAAAUUUUAGCGAGACAACAUCAUACGAUGAUGCUGACAUUAAGAUUGGAUUCUACAAUAUUACCUACAAUGAUGCAGUUGAUGAUGUUGUUGUGGGUGACUCUUUCAUCAGCUUGAAACUUGAUUCGAAGGCGAAGUCAGGUUUGAUACGUCUAGACGCUUCAAAGUACUGGGUGUUGCCAACUACCUACUUUUGGUACUGGGAAUUUCACCAAUUCGACUUGGAGACUGUUGCCAUGCAUCAAAUAGGUCAUCUACUAGGACUUGAUCACUCGUCUGAUGAGGAGUCUAUUAUGUACCCAACAAUAGUGCCAUUGCAACAAAGGAAGGUGCAGAUAACAGUUUCAGAUAACUUAGCUAUUCAACAACUCUACACCAACUCUGUCAAAGCCAAUCCAGACUCUGAUCAUAGUGGGUGCUUCAAACUUUUUGAGUCUACUUUUGAUACCUCUUUGUCCCUUGGUUUUGCUUUCGUGGCUCUGAUGAACUUGGCUUUCUAAUUAAUACAUCAUUUGAUUAGGGACUCACUUUUACGUAAGUUAAAUAAUUAAUUUGUGUACUUUACUUC